CCGAACCCUUCGGGGGGACGUUGACGGAAUGAGCGGCGGACGGGUGAGUAACACGUAAAGAACCUGCCCUCAGGUCUGGGAUAACCACGAGAAAUCGGGGCUAAUACCGGAUGGGUCAUCGGACCGCAUGGUCCGAGGAUGAAAGGCGCUUCGGCGUCGCCUGGGGAUGGCUUUGCGGUGCAUUAGCUAGUUGGUGGGGUAAUGGCCCACCAAGGCGACGAUGCAUAGCCGACCUGAGAGGGUGAUCGGCCACACUGGGACUGAGACACGGCCCAGACUCCUACGGGAGGCAGCAGUAGGGAAUCUUCCACAAUGGACGAAAGUCUGAUGGAGCAACGCCGCGUGAACGAUGAAGGCCCUCGGGUCGUAAAGUUCUGUUGUAAGGGAAGAACAAGUGCCGCAGGCAAUGGCGGCACCUUGACGGUACCUUGCGAGAAAGCCACGGCUAACUACGUGCCAGCAGCCGCGGUAAUACGUAGGUGGCAAGCGUUGUCCGGAAUUAUUGGGCGUAAAGCGCGCGCAGGCGGCCUCUUAAGUCUGAUGUGAAAGCCCCCGGCUCAACCGGGGAGGGCCAUUGGAAACUGGGAGGCUUGAGUAUAGGAGAGAAGAGUGGAAUUCCACGUGUAGCGGUGAAAUGCGUAGAGAUGUGGAGGAACACCAGUGGCGAAGGCGACUCUUUGGCCUAUAACUGACGCUGAGGCGCGAAAGCGUGGGGAGCAAACA
rnacentral:rRNA from 1 species